rnacentral:lncRNA from 1 species
AUUAUAAGAAAAAUUCAGGAGCCCAAUCCAAAUAUACAAAUUCAAAUAAUUAGAAUACUCCACCAAUUUGCAUACUAUAUGGCCUUAAGAAUUUAAUCCACUAAUAGAAAUAUGCAAAUUUACAAUAUUCAAACAUAUCAAUUCCAAAUAUAAUCUACAUACAGAUUUAACCUCGAAAAACAUUCUUUUCAAUAUUAUGAAAUCUUCUUAGCUCACUCCAAUACUAAAUCAACGUACAAAUCCCACUCUAAUAAUUAGCAGCAAAA